AGUGAACGCUGGCGGUAGGCCUAACACAUGCAAGUCGAACGGCAGCACAGUAAGAGCUUGCUCUUACGGGUGGCGAGUGGCGGACGGGUGAGGAAUACAUCGGAAUCUACUUUUUCGUGGGGGAUAACGUAGGGAAACUUACGCUAAUACCGCAUACGACCUACGGGUGAAAGCAGGGGAUCUUCGGACCUUGCGCGAUUGAAUGAGCCGAUGUCGGAUUAGCUAGUUGGCGGGGUAAAGGCCCACCAAGGCGACGAUCCGUAGCUGGUCUGAGAGGAUGAUGAGCCACACUGGAACUGAGACACGGUUCAGACUCCUACGGGAGGCAGCAGUGGGGAAUAUUGGACAAUGGGCGCAAGCCUGAUCCAGCCAUACCGCGUGGGUGAAGAAGGCCUUCGGGUUGUAAAGCCCUUUUGUUGGGAAAGAAAAGCAGCAGGUUAAUACCCCGCUGUUCUGACGGUACCCAAAGAAUAAGCACCGGCUAACUUCGUG
rnacentral:rRNA from 1 species